UUUUAUUCUGCACUCAUCCCUAUUAUUGAAAUCAGUGGUCCUCAGCCCUGAAUGUCCUUUAUUUUAAUGUUUUUAUUUUAUUGUAAAUUGACAAUUUAUAAUUGAAUAUGGAUGUACUGUAGAAUCACCUGAGAAGCUUUUGAAAAUUCUGAUGCCUGAGCCCCUUUUCUGAAUAUUCUCAUUUAUUUGGUUUUAUGUUGUUGAGAAUCUCUGGACUAGAUCUCAUUUUUGGAAUCUCUUAACCACUUUCUUCUCUCUUUUCUUCACUAUAUGACCAAAGUCUCAUCUUCUUUACAAAGCCAUCCUUUUCAGCUAGGAGGACCAAGGUUACACUGCAAUUCCAACUCCCAAAUCUCAGUGGAUGUAAAAGAACAAAUAGCAAUGCAUGUGCAUCCCACAGGAGUGGAGGGGUUCUACUCCCUGACACCUUCACUCCAUAUGUCACUGUUACAUUUGCUUAAGGUAUUUGGGUCAGAACUGGCCACCUGGCCACACCCAACUUCAAGGAGAGAGAAUAUGCCAGCCUAUCAUGUUCCCAGAAGGACAAACCAAAACAUCUGUGAGCUACCACAUUUGAUGACACCUUGCCACACUUUGCUCUCCUCUUCUGAAUUCCUGCUGCACUCAUCUAUACCAUAUCAAGAUCGAUCACUUCAUUGUGUGCGAUUUUGAACUUUAGAUCUAUUUUGAAUUUUCCAAGGACAAGACCUUGGAAAUCAUGUGGUCUAACUUCCUAGCUGACUUUGGUCCUUAAAACAAAGAAGGAUUCCAAUUUCUUAUUUUUAAACAAAAUCAUUAAAACAACAAAUGUUGUCAACUCAUUUUUUUUUUCUCAGUGAAAGACAAAACAAACUCAAAGUUAGAAUGGAGAGCUACUGGGAAGAAAUGCAUUUCUGCAUCUAGCUGCUUCAGAGUGCAUUCCUUAUUUAGAUGGGGCCUCAUGUGUCACAGUACAUUUCUGAAAUGGUUACCUGUUUCCAUUUGGUCUUGUGCCUACUCGUACUUUAGUGACAUUAAUGGCUACUAAGGAAGUAAGACUUUUGGAGAAAAUGAUAUUCUAGUCAUUCCAAAGUUGUAUUGAAUACAUUUUUUUUUGCCAUGAAAUAGCCUUAGGAGAUCUGCUGGCUAAUAAACCAGACUUGAUAAUCGCAUCAUGUGUAUGGCAGAAAUUAUGCUUAUUCCCCAGUGAAAUAAGAUUUCUCAAGUCCUGGUAGAGGCAGAUGAAUUUAUCAUUCUGAAACAGCAGGGUGGGUCAUAGCCUGGGUGGCAAGCUUUGUAAAUAUUAAUGGAGAUUCCAAAUUCCACUGUGUCUGCAGUAAUUUAGAAGCAGUGUUAGCAGCGAAGGGUCAAGGGCAAAACAACAACAACAAAAAAUGAUGUGGGUGGGACUUGGAUCUCUUUACUGUAAGAAAAAUUCUUCUUUUUUGGAAAAUUCUUUUUGUCUCUUCAGUGUCUGUGGCCAUCUGAAAACGUCCACAUGAUGCCAGACCAUGCUUUACUCUGAAAAUCCACCGAUAAGGUACGUUGAAGAUGGAGAACAACUGAUGUCAAGACACAUUUUGGUUGUAAGGGACAGAAGUCCAACUCCAACGAGCUUGCCAAGGAUGGAACCUGCUGGCAAACAUAACCAAACUUUGGGAAGGGCAGGGUAUGGUUAACCUCAGGUUUCUGGAAGCAGAGUGUACAGUGCUGUGCCGUCCCUCUUCUCUCUGCUUCUCUCUGCGUAUUGGCCCUAUCCUCUCAGUGGGGCACCCUCCCUGAGCAGCGAACAGCAGCCACAGGAAGCUCCAGUGUCAAUGCCUCCCACAGCUUUCCAGAGAAGCAGCAGCCUCUUUGUUAGCUCCGUAUCAAAGACAUCCACAGGCAGGGCUUUGUGUGACCCAGUUUGGGUCACGUCUUUAUUUGGGGCCCGGAGGAAAUGGAUACAAUGACUACAGCCCAUCAUAGAACCUCAUGUUUAGAGGACCAAAUUUCCUCUCUCCAAAAGUGAAAUGUUGUCACUGUCCAUUCAACUGAUGAAAAUCUUCCUUUUCAACAGAAAAACUAUCAUGAUGUUGUCUGUUGGGCUUCAGUUUCUUACAGCAGUCAUCUUAAGAAUUAAACUGGUAUGGAUAAUCUGACUAUGAACUCCUUGAGGGCAGGGACCAUAUUAUAUAAUACUUCUGUGUCCUCUGCUAUUUCUUAGCAGAAUUUUGAAAAUGUGCCAAGUGUUGACUUGGUUCGAUCACUUGUGAGAAUGGAGGGACCCAUAAUGUUAAUAAUCAAUGAAGGUUGUUGGAGUUACUUACCCAAAACCUUAUGAACUUAGCCUUCCCUAGCAGAUUUAGUUUCGUAAUUUGUCCGGUAUAAGCAAACACUAAAGAGGGAUUGGGGAAAGUUGUGAGUUGAGUAGUUGGGAAAAAGGUAGUUUGCAGUUUUAUUUACGUCUCACAGCUUGACAUUUUUUGUUUGCCUUGGAGGGGGUACUUUUAAAAAUUCCUCUUUUGAAAACAAUAAAAUCUUAGAUUUUGG
ensembl:lncRNA novel transcript